rnacentral:rRNA from 1 species
CCUACGGGAGGCAGCAGUGGGGAAUAUUGGGCAAUGGGGGAAACCCUGAUGGUGCGACGCCGCGUGGGGGAAUGAAGGUCUUCGGAUUGUACACCCCUGUCAUGUGGGAGCAAAUUAAAAAGAUAGUACCACAAGAGGAAGAGACGGCUAACUCUGUGCCAGCAGCCGCGGUAAUACAGAGGUCUCAAGCGUUGUUCGGAAUCACUGGGCGUAAAGCGUGCGUAGGCUGUUUCGUAAGUCGUGUGUGAAAGGCGCGGGCUCAACCCGCGGACGGCACAUGAUACUGCGAGACUAGAGUAAUGGAGGGGGAACCGGAAUUCUCGGUGUAGCAGUGAAAUGCGUAGAUAUCGAGAGGAACACUCGUGGCGAAGGCGGGUUCCUGGACAUUAACUGACGCUGAGGCACGAAGGCCAGGGGAGCGAAAGGGAUUAGAUACCCCAGUAGUC